UUGGCCUUCAUUAAAGCACUUUAAUUUUUUUUUUCAGCCACUUUUCAACCCCUUUUUUUGAGCCAAGUGGGGUCAAUUCUGCUGCCUUCUUGAUCAUUUGCAGUGUACCACAUUUUUUCAAGAGAAUUGGUGGUACCAAUGGACGAAACCACCCUCAAAUAUCAAAACUAGAUGACCAAUUGAGGGGAGUGGUUGAGAGGGCAAAUUUGUCAUUUAGUACUGUGAUCAACAGUUACCUCCGUUUGAAUUCUACUGCACUAUCUGACUUUAUGACACAUGGGGUCCGCACUAGUUUGAGAAAUUGACAAAUAAAAAAAAAAGUUGAACCCCAACCUUAAGGGCUCCCACCGCCCCACCCCUAAAGCAUCGUGAAGGAGGUAAAUAACUGGAUGUACCCCAACAGGUCAGAGAACCAAAAAUUGACAAAUAAUGUGUUUUAAUGGAGGCAAAAUGGGGGCUUAGACUAUGCAAUACCCGAAAAGUUCGGUUUGGUUCGGUUCUCUUUAGAACCGAACCGAACCGAUCCGUGCCCACCCCUAAUUUGCAGUGUACCACAUUUUUUCAAGAGAAUUGGUGGUACCAAUGGACGAAACCACCCUCAAAUAUCAAAACUAGAUGACCAAUUGAGGGGAGUGGUUGAGAGGGCAAAUUUGUCAUUUAGUACUGUGAUCAACAGUUACCUCCGUUUGAAUUCUACUGCACUAUCUGACUUUAUGACACAUGGGGUCCGCACUAGUUUGAGAAAUUGACAAAUAAAAAAAAAAAGUUGAACCCCAACCUUAAGGGCUCCCAUCGCCCCACCCCUAAAGCAUCGUGAAGGAAGUAAAUAGCUGGAUGUACCCCAACAGGUCAGAGAACCAAAAAUUGACAAAUAAUGUGUUUUAAUGGAGGCAAAAUGGGGGCUUAGACUAUGCCAAUAUUAGAGUUUUCUAGGGCCCACGUGACCCUAAUCAAGAAGAAUAAUUUUUAUUAUAUUGACACAUUAGUAAUAGUCCUCAGCACCUCAAAGCCGUUGAAUAUCAUUGAAGGGGGGACGAGGAGACUCAUCACCUAAUCUGAGAGAUGAAUAAAUAUAGGCUAAUACAUUAAUUAAACUCGUUGUUGAAAGAUUUUUAAGUAUUUAUAUCUUGGGAUUACCUAUAAUUUUAAAGGGAAAAACAAAUUAUCCCCUUUUUAAUCAAACACGAAAAUUUGAAAUUUUCAAGCUAAAAUUAUUUUCAAUUUUGAAAGUUACAACACUACACUCAUGAACACAAAAAUAGCGUGUACUAUGACAAGAUCUUUACAAAUCGAAGGUCAAAGGUUAGAUUGUCUCGAAAAUCUGUCGGGGUAUCAAUCCGAUGUUGGCGCAGCAAACUACGAAUACAGAAUGGCCUCAUUCAGUUCAAAACUGCUUUUUUCUAAAGAUUUUGGACAAAACAUGGGGCUUAGUUCCUAAUCUUAUGGCAUUAGCCUACCAUUAAUUUUUACUCAAGUAAGUUCUAGGACAAAUGCUAUCCUAGUGGACUUACAUAUGACCCAACAAAUGUCCUUUUACCCUAUCGUCAUCUUCCACGUGUAAUUGUAUGUAACAAGCGUGGGUGUCAAACGUGGGCCCUACAUAAAUCACGCCCUCUAAUUAAUUCUUAAUUCGCUCUUCUAAUCAAUAAUUAAUUAUAAUCAAUGUCUACUGCGCGUGCACGCUUGGUACAUAAUAAUUAAGGGUCAACCCUAUUCUCUUAUCUAAAUACACGAUUCCAUCGUAUUAUAAUUGUUAUUUAAUUAUUUAUACGCACAAAAUAAGAAUAAAAUGAUUUUAUUUUUUUGGGUCAAUUUGCGUAUGAUGAAAUAAUUGUUUAUUUAAAUAAUGACAUACGAUUAAGUUUGGAGUUUGGGAUUGAAUAAAAUCCAUCUUGAUAGUUUGAAAAUUAAAAAAUAAAAGUAUUUAUAGAAUAAAAUCCAAUAUGGGUUUGACCAGAUCAAAAUCUAUCUCGACUUAUGAGUAAAAUUAAUGUGUUUUCACAGUGAAAUAAUGACUUGUUUAGUAACAUAGAUCGGAUCAUGCUAAAAAAAAUGAAGCUAAAUUCUUGUUUAUUGUAAUUCAGUUUCAAAAAAAUUUCUUUCGAGCGCUUAUCUAAGUGAUUAUCUGUGGUAUCUUGCCUAUUGACGAAUUGGUUAAACGUUGAACUCACAACCACUAUACAAUUGAUAUGUGUAUUAUUAAUUAUUCAUGUUUGAGUAGUGGAUUUCAGUUAUUUAUUAUACGUGCCAAUUAAUCAAUUAUAUGGUCAUUGAGUACUAAGUUUCAAUACU
rnacentral:lncRNA from 1 species